CACCAAUUUUAUAUCAUAGGUACAUCUAAUUCUAACAACCAUUCAAUGUGUCACCCGGGUCUUCUUUGAUUUGACCUACUUUUCAAGGUCACAGAGGUCGAAUGUUAUGUAAAUUGGCCAUUUUGGGGAAAUUGUAAUUGCUUGGACCUACAUCAAAUCUAACACUACAUGACACAAUACCAUGCUCUUUAUCCAUCUUUCCUCCACAUGAGGUGAGCACAAUGGCCCUGGCCAUUUCAUUCUGUAUGGUGCUUUGAUAAAGCUUUAUGAAGAUACAUCUAGUCGCAGAUGAAAAACCCAUUCUUCAAUACAAUAUUUGGAUAAGAAUUAGCUUCUUGAUUUUUAAGGUUUGCAUGCAAAUUAUAACAACUCUUUAACUUGGAAUCAAAAGUUGUUCCCAUCACAGGCUAGAGAUGGUUGUAUCAGCUUGCAUUCAUGUUAGUUUGACAAUUUCCUACCCUAAAAAUAAUUAUUGUCCUUUUCAUGUUCAGGUUCUGGUAGUCUUUUAGAUAGGUUGUAGCUGGCAAUUCCAAUAUUUCACUGCUAUGGUCACAAGUUACCUUGUAAGUACAGUCCUCGGCGAGUUGUUGGUGUUGGGUUAACAGACGGUGAGACACUGGAAUGUCAGGUCCUUUUUGCGGAGUUUCUCAAAGAUAACGAAAGAAAUGACCCCCAGUCACAGGAUAGAUGUUCUUACUGAUGCUAUGAUCUAUUACACAAACACGAAGUUCGCAAAGAUCGGUCCGUAUCUGGCGUCAAAGCUGACGAAAGCCGAGGAUGUAAUGUCAACAACAAAACAGGAAUUGAAGGCUCUCCUUGAAGUGUCAGAAAGUCAGGUAGAACUCUGGCUUGCAGAGUCACAGAAUCCUGCUAGUUGUCAGCGACUGAGACGAGAUCUGUCCAGCAAGGCCAGUAUCUUACAUUCUGUCAACAAACACAGUGUUGAGAGGGCUGCAUCUCGAAAUGGUAAAGAAAUAAUUAUGCCGAUAGCCAGGCUAUUGCAAUUAAACUGCAGAAAAACAUCAACAGAACCAAUCGGCAUAUUAAGAAGAUGGUGGAAAUCUUCAACACAACAUGGAUGAGAGUUUACCAGAGUCACUUGUUUACGAAGAUGCGUUGAAGGGACAUUACUUAGGCAUGGAAGAAGCACCAAUUGCAGGUCCUAAUGAUAGUGUGCCAUUCUACAUUAAAGAACAAGCUGUUGACUUGUUUUGCCACCACUCCCGAGCUUUUGAGGAACGGUGCUUGUUGUUGAAGAAGAUUGUCAAUGUUGACCGCUUCUUUCGGAAGCAACAACAAAUUUUGUUGACCUGUGCAACAUCGGAUUAUCUCUCACAGGGCCAGAUGGCAAUGGUAGUUGCUAAGGCAAUUUCUAUAGAAGGACUUCACAAUGAAUUCUAUGAGGCAUGCAAGGGCAAUGUGGAAUUGCCAUUUCCUGAGCAGACAUUUAUUGCAUCUGUCAUUAACAAUCAUCAAAGCAUCACCACUAGUGAACUUGGCCUUCCUGAGGAAGAGGUCAGUGACUUCCUUGAAAGGGCGAAGCUUUCCGGGGAAGAGCAGGAGCAGCAUGGUGAUGAUGGGGACGAUCAUGAGAUAGAAGAGGGAUUAACUGCAGUUCAGGAGAGUGAUUAUUUGGAUCUGAUUGAUUGUAGCUACAAUUUUUGAGGUCUUCAUGUUUAAGGAUCAAGUUGCUAGCUGUUCUUUUCAAGGUGGCAGCCUUCUGGACAAUGAAAGUACUCGGAAACCUACUGCACCUGUUGCUGAUUCUUCUCAUCAGGAUGACUGCAGACAAGAUACUGAAACACAGGAACAGUUAAAUGGAGCUGUAGUGUCAACAAGUUCACCAAAUAAGAGUCAUUGUGCUGCUAGCGCAUAUACACAAGCAUGGAUAUCAAAAUUUGCCUCACACGGUGCGCCUACUGGUAGUUCAACUCUUACAAAAGAAGCCAUAACUGUUCAAACAAGGAAGUUAUGUCUGCAAAGUUCCACAGAGAGAAGGUCACCAGAAAAAUGUCCGUCACAAGAAAGUUCCAAAUUAAGACAUCUGAGAAGUGACUACGAAAAGCUUGAAGACAAGUGUGAAUGGCUAAAAGAUGAACUUGUGAAGACAGACAGGCGCUAUAAAUACUGAUAUGAACAGUACAACAACGUGCAAUUCAUGGCCUCAGUGCGGAAUGAACGACACAAAAUUUGUACCCACUUUCGAAUGGCGGAGCAAGUGUCGUCAUAUGCUGUCAAGCAGGUUGAAGAGAGUGUUUUUAGCAACGUAUUUUUCAAUCCAGACUGUGACAUAGACAACGUCAUUGUUCCUAUCAUCAAUGUAAAGCUGAUGAAAGUAUUAAAAGUUGGAGACACUUGCCAAAUAUACAAAGCCGCCUGCCACACUGUCAAUAGGUUCGCUGCUAAGCAAUACAGUGAUGAGAACUAUGCAUCCGUUGUCAACCGAGAGUUUUGGGUGCUGUCCUGUAUCAAUGCCACAUUUACCCCAUUCCCAAUUGGAGUAUAUUAUAAGGAUAACAAACCGGCAUUGGUGACUUCAUUCCACCACCCUACGGGGACUGUAUAUAGCUUAAAGGACUGUUUUUUGGAUUUUCCUUCCCAUUUAAGUGGGAGGGGAUGGGUGAAAGCAACGGUCACAUUUGGCUUUCACCUCAGUCACCUCUUCAUAAGACGGUUUUUGCAUAACAACUUGAAGGCUGAUAAUGUUGUGCUGGAUGCAAAUGAGAAGGGCAUAGAUGUCAUUCUGUGCAGUUGGAAAAAUUCUUGUAGAAUCGAAUCUGCCCGAAUUCUCACAGAGAAGCAAACAAAAAAGCUUGCAGACAAUAUUGUUGUCCCAGAGGUUUUGCGCAGAGAGAAGCCAUUUUCAAUUGCAAGUAACAUUUAUGCAUUCGGUUGUCUUGGAAUCUUGGUUGUGAAAUAUUGUAGGGCAUAUGAAAUCACGGAUUACAAUUUACCAGCUCUGGAAAGAUUCUGUCUGAAAUGUGUGAGUCCAAGAUCUGCAGCAAGGCCAGAUGUUGAGCUGUUUGACGAAGACCUCGAAUCAUUUGACAUAUAAUAAUGUGUGACUCUAACUGAAAAGACAGUACAUGUAUCCCUCUGACAUUGGCGGAUGGUAUUUUGGAGAACUUUGUUUUCCACCUGGAGGAUCUUGACUGAGAAUACUUGGCCUGUAAGGUCACAUACAAUUUACAAACUGUAUGACGAGUUUGGGUCUUAACCCUUUAGCUCCUGCGAGUCUACAAAUUUUUUUCCAGCAUCUCCCUGUAGAUUUCCAGGUAUUCCUAUAGUGUAUAGACUUUUGGCAAAAGAGAUACAAAAAGUUGAGAAUGAAGUACUACAAGUUAUUUUGAAGCUAACAAUCAUACCUACAAUAUGAUAUCAUAAAUUUUUCAUUUUAACCCCCUGGUAUCGACAGGAUUAACCCUCUCAGCAAUUUAGUGAAAAUUCAUAAAAAGGCCCUGUAGUAAACAACAGAAUCAUAAGAAGUUCCUACCUAAUCAACAAAAUCCAUAAAGAAACCCAAAUGUACGAUAAUCCAACCUAAUAUCGAUCGAAAAACACAACCCGGCAGUCUCCUGUACAUGAAUACAUGAAUGGGUUGAUAUGAAGUUAUGGUUUGCACAUGUCACAUUUGUUGGUCAAGUUGGACCAUGAGAAUUGCGAAAUUAAAACACCUACAAAAAUUUCCAGGGUGUGGUUUUAUUGCUGAAUUGACAUGUAGACGAUGGAUAUUUUUUUACCGGUGAAUACUAGUUGUAUGUUGUUAUUAUCAAUAUGUCAGGCCUUCCUAGUUGGUCACAAGUUGUCAUAGUGACUUGUCUAGUUCGAAGUGUUCUGUUCAAUAAAAACACUUGAAUUCA